rnacentral:rRNA from 1 species
AUUGAACGCUGGCGGCAUGCCUUACACAUGCAAGUCGAACGGUAACAGGUCUUCGGACGCUGACGAGUGGCGAACGGGUGAGUAAUACAUCGGAACGUGCCCAGUCGUGGGGGAUAACUACUCGAAAGAGUAGCUAAUACCGCAUACGAUCUGGGGAUGAAAGCGGGGGACCUUCGGGCCUCGCGCGAUUGGAGCGGCCGAUGGCAGAUUAGGUAGUUGGUGGGAUAAAAGCUUACCAAGCCGACGAUCGGUAGCUGGUCUGAGAGGACGACCAGCCACACUGGGACUGAGACACGGCCCAGACUCCUACGGGAGGCAGCAGUGGGGAAUUUUGGACAAUGGGCGAAAGCCUGAUCCAGCAAUGCCGCGUGCAGGAUGAAGGCCUUCGGGUUGUAAACUGCUUUUGUACGGAACGAAAAAGCUUCUCCUAAUACGAGAGGCCCAUGACGGUACCGUAAGAAUAAGCACCGGCUAACUACGUGCCAGCAGCCGCGGUAAUAC